ACGUAAUAGAUACCCGGGUAGUCCACGCCCUAAACGAUGUCUACUAGUUGUUGGUGGAGUAAAAUCCAUGAGUAAACGCAGCUAAACGCGUGAAGUAGACCGCCUGGGGAGUACGGUCGCAAGAUUAAAACUCAAAGGAAUUGACGGGGCCCGGCACAAGCGGUGGAUUAUGUGGAUUAAUUACGAUGCAACGCGAAAAACCUUAACCUUGGCCGUUGUACAUGCCACUAACGAAGCAGAGAUGCAUUAGGUGCCCGUAACGGGAAAGUGGACACAGGUGCUGCAUGGCUGUCGUCAGCUCGUGUCGUGAGAUGUUGGGUUAAGUCCCGCAACGAGCGCAACCCUUGCCAUUAAUUGCCAUCA
rnacentral:rRNA from 1 species